GGCGCCCACCGCCACACCUGGAUAAUUUUUGUUUUUUGUUUUUUUUUUUGAGACGGUGUCUCACUCUGUCGCCCAGGUUAGAGUGCAGUGGCACCAUCUCAGCUCACUGCAAGCUCCGCCUUCCAGGUUCAUGCCAUUCUCCUGCCUCAGGCUCUCGAGUAGCUGGGACUACAGGAGGCAGAGGUUGCAGUGAGCCGAGAUGGCGCCACUGCACUCCAGCCUGGGUGACAAGAGUGAGACUCCAUCUCAAAAAAACAAAACAAAACAAAACAACAACAACAAAAAAACCCAAAUCAAUCAGGAAUGUCACAUAUUUACAAAAAGGAACAGAAAUACUCACAUUUAGCAAAAACUUAUUUGUCCAUUAAUACUAUAAUCAAACAUGCAGAUUUUCUCGUAUUUUCUGUGCGGAUGGCAAGUUACAAAAAUGCUAUUAUCACAACUGUAGAAUGUCAAUCCUAGUUUAGAAACAGUAAUAAAACAGCACUUCAACAAGAGUGGACCGAGAAAGUGCACGACUUAGAAAAUUAUAAAAAAUGCUUCCUACAAAAAUGAUUCCCUUUAAGACAUUUGUUCACUGUACACAUUUUAAGGUCCCCUCUCCCACCCCCCAACAAAAAUAGAGGCAGAACCUCUAAGCACUUUCUAACAAAGUGUCCCCUGGUUUGUUCCUCUGACAAACCCUGACUGAAGGCUCAUGAUGUGCAGGCACUGGGGUCUCAAAGAGGAGAAAGACUUGUCCCUGCCUCACGGAUGCCUCAGUCUUCCCAAAGCAGGAGGCAGACAAGUCACCAACCGCUACGGAUGUAGAAUGGAUGUAUUAUACAUCCAUUAAAAGCAGAUGCCAAUGCCUUCUUAAAAUUAAACGAUAUGCUGCAAUUCCCACUGAAUUACUUAUACAAACCUCCUUACAUACAAGCUGUCCUGACUUACUAGGAAGCAAAAAUGCCACCACCUUCUCCUGAUAAAUACUUCUCUAAUGGGCAGGCAUUAAAUUACAUUUUGUGAUGUUUGCCCCUAAACAUCACAAUGCCUAGUGAAGUCAGUUAACUUUCUUUUAAGCAAUGGUGCCUAUUUUACUCUGAGAAUGAGACACUUUGAAACUAAGGAAGGAACCAGUCCUGUAUCUAGAUCAAGACUCAUCAGUACCAUCAAAAGCUGAGAUGAAACAGU
ensembl:lncRNA novel transcript, antisense to VHL